GACGAACGCUGGCGGCGUGCUUAACACAUGCAAGUCGAACGGAAAGGCCCUGCUUUUGUGGGGUGCUCGAGUGGCGAACGGGUGAGUAACACGUGAGUAACCUGCCCUUGACUUUGGGAUAACUUCAGGAAACUGGGGUUAAUACCGGAUAGGAGCUCCUGUUGCAUGGUGGGGGUUGGAAAGUUUCGGCGGUUGGGGAUGGACUCGCGGCUUAUCAGCUUGUUGGUGGGGUAGUGGCUUACCAAGGCUUUGACGGGUAGCCGGCCUGAGAGGGUGACCGGCCACAAUGGGACUGAGAUACGGCCCAGACUCCUACGGGAGGCAGCAGUGGGGAGUAUUGCACAAUGGGCGGAAGCCUGAUGCAGAGGCGCCGCGUGCGGGAUGACGGCCUGCGGGUUGUAAACCGCUUUCGCCUGUGACGAAGCGUGAGUGACGGUAAUGGGUAAAGAAGCACCGGCUAACUACGUG
rnacentral:rRNA from 1 species